GGCGGGUGCUUACCAUGCAGUCGAACGGUGAAGCCCAGCUUGCUGGGUGGAUCAGUGGCGAACGGGUGAGUAACACGUGAGCAAUCUGCCCCUGACUCUGGGAUAAGCGCUGGAAACGGCGUCUAAUACUGGAUACGAACCGUGGAGGCAUCUUCAACGGUUGGAAAGAUUUUUUGGUCAGGGAUGAGCUCGCGGCCUAUCAGCUUGUUGGUGAGGUAAUGGCUCACCAAGGCGUCGACGGGUAGCCGGCCUGAGAGGGUGACCGGCCACACUGGGACUGAGACACGGCCCAGACUCCUACGGGAGGCAGCAGUGGGGAAUAUUGCACAAUGGGCGAAAGCCUGAUGCAGCAACGCCGCGUGAGGGAUGACGGCCUUCGGGUUGUAAACCUCUUUUAGCAGGGAAGAAGCGAAAGUGACGGUACCUGCAGAAAAAGCGCCGGCUAACUACGUGCCAGCAGCCGCGGUAAUACGUAGGGCGCAAGCGUUAUCCGGAAUUAUUGGGCGUAAAGAGCUCGUAGGCGGUUUGUCGCGUCUGCUGUGAAAUCCCGAGGCUCAACUUCGGGUCUGCAGUGGGUACGGGCAGACUAGAGUGCGGUAGGGGAGAUUGGAAUUCCUGGUGUAGCGGUGGAAUGCGCAGAUAUCAGGAGGAACACCGAUGGCGAAGGCAGAUCUCUGGGCCGUAACUGACGCUGAGGAGCGAAAGGGUGGGGAGCAAACAGGCUUAGAUACCCUGGUAGUCCACCCCGUAAACGUUGGGAACUAGUUGUGGGGUCCAUUCCACGGAUUCCGUGACGCAGCUAACGCAUUAAGUUCCCCGCCUGGGGAGUACGGCCGCAAGGCUAAAACUCAAAGGAAUUGACGGGGACCCGCACAAGCGGCGGAGCAUGCGGAUUAAUUCGAUGCAACGCGAAGAACCUUACCAAGGCUUGACAUAUACGAGAACGCUGCAGAAAUGUAGAACUCUUUGGACACUCGUAAACAGGUGGUGCAUGGGUUGUCGUCAGCUCGUGUCGUGAGAUGUUGGGUUAAGUCCCGCAACGAGCGCAACCCUCGUUCUAUGUUGCCAGCACGUAAUGGUGGGAACUCAUGGGAUACUGCCGGGGUCAACUCGGAGGAAGGUGGGGAUGACGUCAAAUCAUCAUGCCCCUUAUGUCUUGGGCUUCACGCAUGCUACAAUGGCCGGUACAAAGGGCUGCAAUACCGUGAGGUGGAGCGAAUCCCAAAAAGCCGGUCCCAGUUCGGAUUGAGGUCUGCAACUCGACCUCAUGAAGUCGGAGUCGCUAGUAAUCGCAGAUCAGCAACGCUGCGGUGAAUACGUUCCCGGGUCUUGUACACACCGCCCGUCAAGUCAUGAAAGUCGGUAACACCUGAAGCCGGUGGCCCAACCCUUGUGGAGGGAGCCGUCGAAGGUG
rnacentral:rRNA from 1 species